rfam:Leptospirillum sp. Group IV &apos;TBA BS&apos; genomic scaffold D084_Lepto4S00262, whole genome shotgun sequence.
GUCAAGUUGACCAAACGUGGGAGGAGGCGCGGAGCGAAACCGCAAGUCCAUGGACAAGAACCGGUAAAUGGCGCCGCCGACCAAGACGAGCAGGCAUAAAAUCACAAAGUCUUUGAAUCCGAAGGAGAGGACGAGGUCGAGGAUCUCGGGGGAUUCGGCGGAUCCGGCGACGAUU